CAGUUUUAUUGAGAUAUCAUCAAUGGACAGGCAAUGGAUAUAUAAGUUUAAGGUGUACAGCAUAAUGGCUUGACUUCCGUAUAUUGUGAAAUGUAUAUGAAUAUUGACGAGUCUUUUAAGGCAAUGCCUCCUUCCUACCUCUCUCAGCAGGUGCUCCCCCCCCAUCCCAUCCCCACGCAAAGAUCUGGGUUCCAGCUCCAACACUGCCACCAGAUGGCCAACUGUUCUUAGGUCAGUGGUCUAACCUCUCUGGGCUUCAGCUUCAUCAUCCCUUGUUAGAUGUGCUCUGCCUACCUCACGGGACUGGACUGCUGAGUGGAACAAAUGAGGGUUAUGAGACACAGCUCUUUCAAUGGGGUGGACAUACCAUGAAAAGAUGAUGGAGGCAACUUGUGUUAAUAAGGUCCAGCUCCAGUUUCAGACUCUAACCUGUGACUUGAGGCACUUGGGAGAGAAAUAAGUUCGAGUGGAAUCUGAAGAUCUUUUCACUGCCCUUCAUGCUGUAUCAUAUAAGCAAAGCUUCCAAGUCACACAGUGAGACCCAGGAGGCAGGAGCCAAUAAAAUCUUAAAAACACCCAAGGACGAGGCCCACACAUUCCAAAUGCUUCUUAGGGUACAGGGAUUGUGCAUUUUUUUUCGGAAGCCAUGGUGCUUUUCUGCCCAGUGGUACUCAUUCAUUCCUAGUUGAAUGGAACAAUGAUGAGGGCAAGGAUUCCCACCCCAGGUUCAUCUAGCUCUGUUCACUACUCUGUAUUUGUGAUCUAUUACUGACUUCGGGGAAAUUUGGCCACAGAGACAGACACACGGAUGGAAUGUGAUGUGAAGAUGAAGAGAGAGAUUUGGGUGAUGCUUCUACAUCAAAAGACUGCCACAGAUCACCAGCACAUGACCAGGAGCAAGGAGAGAGGCAUGGAACAGAGUGUUGUUCACAGCCUCAGAAGGAACCAAUCCUGCUGACCCCUUGAUCUCAGACUUCUGGACUCCUGAACUGUGAGAUAAUAAGUAUCUCUUGAAGCCACCCGGUCUGUGGAACUUUGUUAUGGCGGCCCUAACAAAUGAAUAUAAAGCCUCUGUGCACUAUUUUCUUUAUUUUGCAGACAAGGAAGCAGAGGCUCAGAGAGGUUAAAUAACAUGCCUUAGAUCACACAGCUGGUAAGGAGCAGAGCCAGAAUUUAAACUUAGUACUGCAUGCUUUGUUGCUUUUAUGUGGGAGUCUGUUCUGGUAAGGAAUAGAAAAGGUCAAUUUUCUCUGUAUUUCAAGCAGGAUGUGAUAUAUCUUCUUUCUCAGCCUGGCACAGGGCAGCUGGGUCUCCCAGUCCACACCCAUCACCAACUCUGAGGUACAUCUUCUAUUUCCUCCCACAUUUUUCCCCUUCCAGCAACAGCAGAACCCCAAAUCAAUUGCCUCGGGCUAGCAUUAGAAAAAUAAAUUUUCUGGGGUGCCUGGGUGGCUCAGUCGGUUGAGUGUCUGACUUCGGUUCAGGUCAUAAUCUCGCCAUUUGUGUUCGAGCUCCACAUCGGGUUCACUGCUGUCAGCGCAGAGCUGGCUUGGGAUCCUCUGUCCCCCUUUCUCUCUGCCCCUUCCCCACUGGUGCGUGCGCUCUCCUUCUCUCUCAAAAAUAAACAUUAAAGAAAUAAAAA